CGCGUAGGCGGCUUGCCAAGUCGGGUGUGAAAGCCCGGGGCUCAACCCCGGAAUAGCACUCGAGACUGGCAGGCUCGAGGACGGGAGAGGAUGGUGGAAUUCCCAGUGUAGAGGUGAAAUUCGUAGAUAUUGGGAAGAACACCGGUGGCGAAGGCGGCCAUCUGGACCGUUUCUGACGCUGAGGCGCGAAAGCGUGGGGAGCAAACAGGAUUAGAUACCCUGGUAGUCCACGCCGUAAACGAUGAGUGCUAGACGUUGGGGGACCUAGUCUCUCGGUGUCGCAGCUAACGCAUUAAGCACUCCGCCUGGGGAGUACGGCCGCAAGGUUAAA
rnacentral:rRNA from 1 species